UACCUGCAGCUCGAGUGGUAACCGCUAUUAUUGGGCCUAAAGCGUCCGUAGCCGGUUUGGUAAAUAUCUGGGUAAAUCGUGAGGCUUAACUUCACGAAUUUCGGAUAGACUGCCAGACUUGGGAUCGGGGGAGGUCAGAGGUACUCCAGGGGUAGCGGUGAAAUGUUGUAAUCCUUGGAGGACCACCGGUAGCGAAGGCGUCUGACUAGAACGAGUCCGACGGUGAGGGACGAAGCCCUGGGGCGCAAACCGGAUUAGAUACCCGGGUAGUCCAGGGCGUAAACGAUGUGGGCUUUGUAUUGGAGGUCCCACGUGGGCGUCCAGUGCAGAAGAGAAGUUGUUAAGCCCACCGCCUGGGAAGUACGGUCGCAAGGCUGAAACCUAAAGGAAUUGGCGGGGGAGCACAGCAACGGGAGGAGCGUGCGGUUU
rnacentral:rRNA from 1 species